GGGUUGGCAAAGGCCGGGGGAGCGGGGACUGGAGCGCCCCAUGUGCGGGGAGUGGUACAAACCGACACUCCCCCCCCUCCCCGAACGUCUCCUAGUCCCGAGCGGGUGACAGGUUCCUGCUCUCGCUGGGCUUUUACCAUCCGCUCGGGAGGGGGGACACGGAACGCGCCACUUGCCCGAAGUGGGAGAAGCUUCUCCGCGACCGGGCCGGGCUCCUUGGGCGCGACCACUGGGACACAGAGGAGGAAAACGCCAACGCAAUGUCCCCUCAGUGCUUCCUCCCACCACUCCCGGGCCAGACCGACCCCUCUCUCUCUCUCUCUCUGAGAUCGCGCCCAAGGCUCCCACCAAUCAGGAAGCUCCAACGCGGCUGGAACGUAAUGCAUUGUGGGAAGGCAACGGAACGGAAGCAGGCGGGUGGCUCAGCAUGUGGGGGUUCCCAUGGCAACCGUCACCUUCCCCGUCGCCAGCGGAAUGACGGGUCUUAUCAGACCCUAGUCCCUCUAUCUCGGGAGACGGGGAUCCCCAGGGAGAGGAGGGGGCCCGUCUGGGGGCCGGGCCCUUGUAGCCGCGGGGAGGGGGAUCCCCAUGGAGUGCUGGGUGCAGCAGCUCUGCUCCUGGUGAAGAUCCAGCCCAUGGCGGGGUGCAGGGGGUGACCGGUUUCUUUUGCUGAUGGACGGGGAGGACGUUUGUGAAACGCUUCUUUAAGCGUCACCAGUUCGUGCGUUGGGUGCUCGAGGUGCCUGAAGAGAAUUUGACAGAUGGGGCCUGGCAUUUCAGGGCAGGUUAGGAAGCCACAUUUUUAAUUUCAGCCCCUGGUUUAACCCAUAAGCGGAGGCUCCAACCCCCACUACACACAGGCAAUCGCGAAAUGAAAGAAAGGAGUUCAUGUCUGUGUUCAUAAUGGAAACUCAAGAAGCCAAGUAGAUCUCAUGACCCCAGAAGAACUGUCCGGUCCUCAUGUGUCCUUAUGUUAUCCUGGAGGACUAUGACAAGAUCUUUGGAGGACUUGGCAUGGGACUUCACAGCUGAAGUUUGGAUGAAACCUGAUUUUUUAACUAUGUUCUUGCCGAAGCUCUGUACUGGAUGGAAUCAGAAUUACUCAACCGCAUGUCAUUACUGCUGAAAGCCCUGGGAAAGGAGACGCCAGCUGUACUCUGUCCACUCGUGGCAUCAAGUCCUGAGGUGCAGCCCAUAGAGACACACAGAUCACCGUGCCUUGCUUCCUUCAGUCCAAGCAGAAGGUUACACUGCAUGCUGGGAGCCCCUCCUGCCCUAUUGUUCUGGCCUGUGACCUAGGAAGGGGCUCACACAACUACGGAGGGUUUGUCUGGAGGAGGGGCAGCCACUGCCAUCCUAA